UACGUAGGGGGCAAGCGUUGUCCGGAUUUAUUGGGCGUAAAGAGCGUGUAGGCGGCUUCGCAGGUCCGCUGUGAAAACUCGAGGCUCAACCUCGAGAUGUCGGUGGAAACCGUGUGGCUAGAGUCCGGAAGAGGAGAGUGGAAUUCCCGGUGUAGCGGUGAAAUGCGCAGAUAUCGGGAAGAACACCCGUGGCGAAGGCGGCUCUCUGGGACGGUACUGACGCUGAGACGCGAAAGCGUGGGGAGCGAACAGG
rnacentral:rRNA from 1 species